rnacentral:miRNA from 1 species
UACCGGGAAACUCGUGUCAACCA